GCCGAAGUGGUGAAAUUGGUAGACGCAGCGGACUCAAAAUCCGCCGGGGGCAACCUCAUGAGGGUUCAAUUCCCUCCUUCGGCA
rnacentral:tRNA from 1 species